UCAGUAGUGUGCCGCUGCCUCCUCUUCUCCUAUUGUCCCUGGUGCCAUCUCCUCUCAUCCCUAGCGCUGCCCCUGCUCCGGAGCCUUGGAUCCCCAAUUGGUGAACCUCUUCAUCCACGAUUGCUGCUGCCCCUCUCCAUCGUGGCUGAGUGCUCGUGCUUGUUGACCAUUUUCAUGGCCAGGCCCUUUCAAGAUUCACAAAGAAAUUCCUCACGGCUCCUUGAUCCCUGCUGUUCAGGUACUCGCUAACCAAGUUGCAUGGGAUAGGAGUAGCCACUUCAUGAUGAGCAUGCACAUUUUUUUUUGCGAUUCAUUAAACAAAUCCAUAGGCUGAAUAAUUAUUUUGAUAUUGAGAACUAUCGUGUGGUCGUUUAGAUGUCGCUUAAGUUUAUUCGAUCGUGUUAGUCGGUGUGGAGUUCUGAAUAAUAUUUAUUUAUACGAUCUUGCUAUUAUAUGACUUGUGUGCCCGCGAAUGUUAGAAUUUACAGAGGAGACUCUGCCGAAAUUUACUAUAAUUUUCA